CAAGAAUACCUUUGACUUUUUUUCUCUUUUUUGGACACAAUACAAGCUUAUUUAUUUGGACAUUCUACCCAACACAAGUGUCAAGGUAGUAGUAACGUGUCCACUUGGAGCCCAAAGCUGGUGCCUGCUCGAAGACAACUCCACCCUGCAAACCCUUUUCCCCUCCUGCCACCAAAUUAUGAAAUAAUAAUGCCGAGACCGUCAAGAGCAGUGUCAAGCAAAUGAUGUCAAGGACCCUGACAAGAAGGCAUGAAUGGCUCAACACAGAAAGAGACGUAUUUCAGUGGCAAUUGGCUACUGGACACUGUGUUCGUGCUCUCUUUGCAUUAUUAGCCCAUCCAUUUAAAGCUCGUAUCAGCUCCAAGGACAACGACAAGCAAAUCUUACCCAAUGUAGACACAACACUGCUAUUCACACCGAGUAUCCUCCCUUUCAUUCCUUAGACAGUCUACACCUGCACAUGUGCUCCUUUGUAAACUGAAGGUGAACACGGUAAGCAAUAAACAGUAUGGACCUUCUAAUCAUUUCUCUAGUACUGAUGAAGUCUGCGGGUGGAAGGACGGAGUGACCCAGAAGGAGUAUGGUGCAAGCAUGGGAUUUUUGAUGGCUAUUGACUGCUUGGCUCUGCUCUCAGUUUCCAUUGAUUUCUUGGCGUUGACAGGAUCUACUACUGCGAUGCUUUGUUUCAGAGAGCCACUUUUUUGUUUUUUGGCUUUUUUUUUUUUUUUUUUUUUUUGAGAGCCAGUGUUUUAUUUUCCCUGCUGCGGCAUGUCCCUGGUGCAUAGGUCAUUUCCUGGAGACCUCAUCGUAGCCAGGAAACAGCGAAGAGUGAAGAAAUAAGCCAAAAUACCUCCAAGCAACUAAAAUAGAUAAUGGCCAAGUCUCCACUGUCCAAACACUUCAUAAAGAGGAAAGCCCUUUGGAGUUCUCUGCACAUAGUUCUAGUAAGCUCUAUUGUGUGAUUUUCUAGCAAAGCACUUUAAACAGCACGUGUGUUGGGAGGUUAGGAGAGUUGCCAAAGGCUGGGACACUGGCAGCUAUGAAAAUGACAUCUGAUAGACUGCAAGAGAGAAAAAGACCAAAGAACAAAAAGAAAAGAAAAGAAAACCUAUAAAAACAGGAAUCAAGGAAUCAAAACUCAGAGAUGGGAUCAUGCCACAGAGAGGCAAACACCCCAUACGUGACCACUGGAUUCCCGCGUGGGAGAGAAAUUGACAUCCACCCGGAAGCCUGAGAUAAAAAGACUGGAACAAGGUAUGCUCAGCAAACUGUUGGAGAAGGCAGGAAGUAUGUGAUACAUUUUAGAAAGAUUUCUAGACAAAAUAGUUUUGCUACUGUUUUUGUGUUUAAAUGCGUAAAGUUCAGGGAGGGGAAAAAAGAUCUUUUACUUUUUAAGCAGUUAAAAAAAAAAAAAAAAAAAGAAACCUGUAACAGAAAAAAGAAAAUCGGAUCCCGAAGUCAUUUAAAUAGGCCAGGUCUUCCCUAACCUGCUGGAUACAUUAGGCAUUCCCGUCUUUCAAACAAAGCAUGAAAAUCUCUUUAGAAGUGUCAUGUUCUGCACAUAUCACUAUAACAGUGAUAAUAUGAUUCCCGAAGGAGAGAGACACACACAGAGAAACAGAGUUUUUUCCCAGCCACCUAUGCUCUGGAUGUUGACCUAGUUAUUAACAUAAUUCAUUCGGCUUUAACUUUACUUAUCAUUCAUCAGACUUACUUCCCAUGCACCUAGGUAAUAUUCCUAAUUUUCAUUUUGAUGGCUGCCAUGGCAGGUGGCAUGGCAUAUUCCAUGAUUCUAAAUGGCUUCCAAUUUUACUAAUUAUCCAUAAGCAAUAAAGGAAGGAAGGAAGGAAGGAAGGAAGGAAGGAAGGAAGGAAGGAAGGAAAGAAAGGAAAGAAAGCUCUUUCCUUUUGCCUUGUUGCAACCGAGACAGCAAGAUGCAACACCAGGAGCUCUACUGGAGCCCUCCGAGGAAAUUGGGCCAGGGUUCUCGUUCUUGCCGCUUAUGCUCAAACCCCACCCCCACCCCGCCCCGGGUCUGAUCCCGAAACACGGCCUCAAUACGUGCCGCCAGUGUGUCAGCACCCGAAGGUACAGGCUUCAGCAAGCUAGAUUAAGUGACCUUCCUUGAACGGGUCAUCCAGGAUACCUACGGCAAUUGCAGAUACCCAAGAUAGCUACCUUAAUGCUGGCUCUUCGGGCCUAAAAUAAAAAUACUUCAAUGAUGAGUGCCUUACCAAAAAAAGAAAGAAACAAGAAGACCAAAAUGGAGCCACUUGCCCCCACCCCACCCCACCCCCCAACAACAGCAAACCCAGUCUCAGUUUCAUCCUCUGCGGCAAUGCGACGCUUGGAGUCGUAUGGACUUGUCCUGAUUGGCACUAGUGGGGUCAUCUGCAUGAUAAAAACACUCCUAUUCCCUUCCCCCACCGAAACAAGAAGUAACAAUCCUUGCUUUUCUUUUGCUAAUCACUUUAGCCGCCCCCCCCCACCCUUCCUGUAAAAACCUCCCAUUCCGUAUACCUCCUGGGGUAUCUCUCUAGGUACUUGUUAGCUGGGAUACUGCUCCCUUCGGGAAUCACUUAAUAAA